CCAAAGUCUCUUUUAAGAGGCAUCCACUUUUUUCAGCAUAAGAAUU
rfam:Camelus ferus unplaced genomic scaffold scaffold2639, whole genome shotgun sequence.